UUUUAUUCAUUUUUUUUAUUUUAUAUAACAUUAAUUCCUGAUUUUUUAUUUCAAAAUAUAAUAAACAAGUGAAAAUAAAAAUAAAAGGAAAAAACAAGAAAGUUAAAAUUAAAAAUUACAAAAUUUUUUUUUUAUAUAUAAUGCAAAAUAAAAAAAAUCUCAAAGAUAUUCUAAAGGAGCAUUUUUUAAUCGAUUCUUCUGAAAAUUUAGCGACGUGCAGCAUGUGUGACAAAAAGAUGAAGUCAAUACCAUCAAAUCUUAAAAGACACAUAACCUCUCAACACCCAAACAUAAUGAAAGCAGAUGAAUCUAAUAGUGAUUCGUCCUUCAAUGCUAGAAAUACAGCAAAAGAAAAAUUCCCAAAAAUUAAGAUCGAUAAAUCUAAAGUUUUUGAAUGUAUAGUAUGGUUGAUUACAGUCCAUAAUUUAC